AGUGAACGCUGGCGGUAGGCCUAACACAUGCAAGUCGAACGGCAGCACAGUAAGAGCUUGCUCUUACGGGUGGCGAGUGGCGGACGGGUGAGGAAUACAUCGGAAUCUACUUUUUCGUGGGGGAUAACGUAGGGAAACUACGCCAAUAACGCAUACGAACUACGGGUGAAAAGAGGGGAUCCUCGGACCUUGCGGGAUUGAAUGAGGCGAUGUCGGAUUAGCUAGUUGGCGGGGUAAAGGCCCACCAAGGCGACGAUCCGUAGCUGGUCUGAGAGGAUGAUCAGCCACACUGGAACUGAGACACGGUCCAGACUCCUACGGGAGGCAGCAGUGGGGAAUAUUGGACAAUGGGCGCAAGCCUGAUCCAGCCAUACCGCGUGGGUGAAGAAGGCCUUCGGGUUGUAAAGCCCUUUUGUUGGGAAAGAAAAGCAGCAGGUUAAUACCCCGCUGUUCUGACGGUACCCAAAGAAUAAGCACCGGCUAACUUCGUG
rnacentral:rRNA from 1 species